GUGAAUCAUCGAAUCUUUGAACGCAAAUUGCACUCUCCGGUUUUCCGGGAGAGUAUGCCGGUUUGAGGGUCUGUUUAAAAAAUAAUCGGGUCUGCUGCUGUGGUGGCGGUUCGGGAUUGGGUCAUCUUCUACCCUUCUGGGUUGUAAGCGACCUAAAAUUUUUUUUAUGAUUUCUACGUACGUGUCUAUGAAUUUUUUUUACGUUCGCUAUAUCGAAUUCAUAUUAGGUGCUACAUCCGAG
rnacentral:misc_RNA from 1 species